UGGACAAAAUUUGCAUAUCAGAUCCAUGAU
rnacentral:piRNA from 1 species